rnacentral:rRNA from 1 species
GACGAACGCUGGCGGCGUGCUUAACGCAUGCAAGUCGAACGGAAAGGCCUCUUUCGGGGGGUACUCGAGUGGCGAACGGGUGAGUAACACGUGAGUAACCUGCCCUUGACUUUGGGAUAACUUCAGGAAACUGGGGCUAAUACCGGAUAGGAGCUCCUGCUGCAUGGUGGGGGGUGGAAAGUUUCGGCGGUUGGGGAUGGACUCGCGGCUUAUCAGCUUGUUGGUGGGGUAGUGGCUUACCAAGGCUUUGACGGGUAGCCGGCCUGAGAGGGUGACCGGCCACAUUGGGACUGAGAUACGGCCCAGACUCCUACGGGAGGCAGCAGUGGGGAAUAUUGCACAAUGGGUGGAAGCCUGAUGCAGCAACGCCGUGUGCGGGAUGACGGCCUUCGGGUUGUAAACCGCUUUCGCUCAUGACGAAGCUUUGUGUGACGGUAGUGGGUAAAGAAGCACCGGCUAACUACGUG